UCCCGGAUGCGCGUCUCUCUUGCCAGGCCCUCUUUGUCCGGCGGCGAUAGUAGGCCGUGAUUAAUAUGGCAAAAUGUGCAUGUUUGUUUCAAUUAUUAUUUUAAGCUGUACCACAAAAGAAAGCAUAUACCGUGUGAGGACUGGUAUAUCGGCAAUGACACACUGGAGAGGUUCAUAUUAACGACUACAGAGCAAGCAACGGAGAAAGGCACCAACAGUCAUAUUAAUGGCUGCCGAAUCGGGGAGACUCCUGGCGGGACAAGGCCAAGGAAAGCGAGGCAAAGGUGGACAAAUGAAGAGCCCAGAGAAGAAGAAGAGGAAAUCCAAUGCUCAGGGGCCUGGUGGCGCGUUCUCCCACCUCUCUGAGUUUGCACCCCCUCCCACCCCCAUGGUGGACCACCUGGUUGCCUCCAACCCUUUUGACGAUGACUUUGGCCCCCCGUCACUGCCGUCCCGACCCGGUGGCGCUGGAGGUCCAGGAGGGGGUCCCUUCCUCCCCAGCCCCGGGGCAGGUGGAGGAGGAGGGCCUUAUGGGGGUGGAGGCAGGAUGGGCCCUGGGGGCAUGGGCUUCAUGGGGGGCCCCGGAGGACCUGUAGGAGGCCCUGGAGGUCCAGGUCGGAGACCGCCUUUCGGCCCAGGACCACCCAACGCAGGACCGCACCACCAGCUGGGCUUUGGAGGGAUGCCUGGCUUCGGGGGUGGUGGGGGAGGUUUCCCAGGGCCUGGGGGUCCGUCGCAAUUUAACAUGCCCCCCAAUUUCAGUCCCCCAAUGCACCCUGGACCGGCGUUCAACCCCAUGCUGUCCCCUGGUGGUAUGGGGGGUCCUGGAGGAGGGGGGCCACCGCACCCUCGGUUUGGGAUGCCCCCGCAGCAACAGCACGGACAGGGUGGGCACCCCUUCAACAGCCCCCCUUUAACAGGUGGCGGAGGCCCCAGGGGACCCCCCCAUGGCCCCAUGAACCCCAUGGGGGGCAUGCCUGGAGGGAUGAACAUGAUGGGGGCCAUGGGAGGUGGCCCAGGAGGAAACAUGGGAGGGAUGCCAAGUCUACCCCCUCAAGGACAGUUCCCUCCUUCACAAGAUGGGCCCUACCCAGGCCCCAGCCCCCCCGGGUCCAGGAAAUGAAGAGGGAAAGAACUUUGGUGGAGGUGGGCCCCAGUCUGGGCCUCCUCAGCAGCCUAACUUAAACUCCUCUGGUCCCCCAGGUCCCAACAACACUCCCCCCGGGCCUCCCAACUCUGGCCCUCCCCAGCCUGGAGGAGGCUUCCCUGGACACCCUGACCAGCAUCCCAACCCCAACACAACCGGUCAGCCCCCCUCAGCACCGCCCCAGCCCAACCCUAACUCCUCCCCCACCGGCCCCCUCAACGGAUCCCAGCCUCAGCAGGUGCCGCCAAAUCAGCUGCAGGGGCCCAACUCUACCAACACCCCCUCUUCCAAUAACCUGCCCCAGCAGCAGUCGACUCUGCCCAAUUCUGCCCCUGGCUCCACCCCUUACAACCAGCAGAACAACACUCCUGGUGGAUGCCCCAUGCCCAAUGCUCCCCCCAACUCUGCCCAGAACAACUUGACCAACAGCGGGGGCAACACCCCCGCCAGCAACCCUAACCCCCCUUCCAACUCCACUCCCAACACCCAGUCUCCACUGCCCCCCCGGCCCCGCCAACACUUCCACGGGCCCAGGCGCUGGUCCAGGAAAGCUGGGGGGCCCGGGAAUGGUGUUCCCCUGUGGCUUCUGUCUGUCAGAGGUGCACGACGACCAGGAUGCCAUCUUGUGCGAGGCUUCGUGCCAGCGCUGGUUCCACCGUGACUGCACGGGCCUGACUGAGCCGGCCUACGGGCUGCUGACCCGGGAGAGCUCUGCCGUCUGGGCCUGCGACUUCUGCCUCAAAACCAAGGAGAUCCAGGCUGUGUACGUCCGCCAGGGCCUGGGCCAGCUGGUGGCUGCCAAUGAAGGCUGAGGAACAGGAGGCGGAGGAGGAGAGACUGGGAGGGCUGCAGGGGAAGAGACAAUGACUGCUCUGAUCUCUCUCGCCCAACCUUAUCUGAUAAGCCGUUUACAAUGCCUAAAUCUCUCUUUUACAUACAUAAAAACACUUACACCCACUGGACAGUUUAUUGGGUACAGCGCCUCUUUCACGAAAACUGAUCGCUCCUAUAGACAAUGAGUCAUGUGGCUUGUUUUGUAAAGCAGGCAGACCAGCAUCGAGUCAUUCAGUUACUGUUCGAUUGAAUGUUAGAAUGGGCAACACAAGUGACCUAAGCAAGUGACUUUGAGCGUAGUAUGAUUGUCGGUGCCAGGCGCACCGGAUCCAGGAUCACAGACUCCCUCCUGGGCUUUUCACGCACAACAGUGUCUAGGGUUUUACCAAGAAUGAUGUGACAAACAAAACAUCCAGAAUUGUGCAAGCUAUCAGGUGGGCCACAAAUAACGGUGCAGUACAACAGUGAAGUGCAGAAUGGCAUCUCGGAACCCACAACUCAUCAAACCUUGUCGAGGAUGGGCUGUUGCAGCAGAUGACCACACCGGGUUCCACUCCUAUCAGCUAAAAACAAAAAGAAGCGGCUUCAGUGGGCAAGUGAACACCAACAUUGGAAAAUUGAGUGGAAAAACAUUGCAUGGAACAUUCAGGCUGUUCUGGAAGCAAAGCUGUGUCUGACCCGGUACUAGAUGUGUGUACCUAAUAAACUGGCUAGUGAGUACAUGAAGCACUUUUAGUGACUCUUUUGGACUGAACAACUGAUUUCCCCGUACAUGACAAUGCCCUGUCCACAUUACCCCCCCCCAGACAUUUGGCCUGGCGACAAGCAAAGCAAAGCACUGACACCAACACACUACCUCAUACUUUGUGACUGACCAACACAGACCCCUCACUGACAGACUGACUGACCCCUGGUGGGAGCAUGGUCAUCUUACACACACAUACAUACCUGGUUUUGACCCAGAGCAGAUGAAUCCAAAGGAGACCCAGGCCACUCCUCAAUGUACUAGACUGUCCUCCCACCCACACCUCCAGAGAGAAAAGAAUGGCACCACAGAAAAAUUUGUAGAUAUGCAGCCUGAACGUUUGCCCAAAACACGCCUCUGUCCAUCUUGGAAUGCAGGAGAAUCAACCAAUGAACAAAAAAAUGUAAUUAUAUAAUGUCUUGGUUAUGUCAAUGGACUUUUUGUUUUUAUACAUUGAAUCAACCAUUUUUAUAUCUCCUUCACUGGACACAGAAGUUGUGAUAUCAGUGCUGUUGGAUGGUGUUGGCAUAGCUACAAGUAGUGACAUCAUGGUCAUAUCCAAUGUGUGUACUAGUCUUUUGGGAAUGCAUGUGAACAAAUGCAGUAACUUUGUCCAAUCUGUUUUUAUUUGUAAUUUGGUCUCUGCUAGAGGCCUCGAAGUAGACCAAAUAACAGAGCAAAUAAUAUCAAUGUUCAUAUUAUUGUCAUGUCAGGUGUUUGUAAUUUUCCUUCUUAAAAAAAAAAAAAAACAUUCUGUCCAAGUUGCCUUUUUGUCACCCCAUUCAUUUUUUUGUACUGCUAUCUGCUGUAUAAUAAUGUGCUCUACUCAGGCGCCCUCUGGUGGGAACCUGAGGGACUGACCAGCAGCCCACACAGUGUGGGAAAGAUACUGAACUCUGAAGAAGUAAAGAGAAUUGUUUUUGUA